AGGCUACUCAAUGGUCAAUCACAGCACUUAUUUGGUACCUCCAGGAACAUUUUUCAUGCUUGUGUUGCUCCCCAACUCCCUUUACAUCUGAAUGUUGCUCACAGUCAUUUAAAAGUGUACAAUAUGUGAUUAUACCCAUUUCAGCGGCAAUUGCUUUUAAAUGCAAGAAUAUAAAAUAUGCAUCAACACAGCAUAGGAGCAGCUGGCUGGGCCAGAAGCUGGAGUUUCACACUAUUAGCCUGUUUGGGGGGGGGGUGGAUUUUCUACAAGCUGAACACUGCUUUCAAGAAAUAAACAUUACUACACUAUGCUAAAGCAUAAAUGACUAUUUGGAUAUUUUGUAUAUUGGAUUUUUCCAUGUAAUUGGCCUAUUAUCUGUGGGGGAUGAUCAGUAACACCAAAAAAUAUAAGUGUCUCAUAUGCAUUUAAAUACUGGUAAAAAUAUUAGAGUAAUUUAGGACCUCAACCACAGCUGAGGUCAUGCAAGAAUGGACAUUGUCGUGCAAAUUGAUGAUACCAAUUAAAUGUGCUUGCAUCUAUAGUUGUACUCAUUUCAUGCACAAGUAUGUCUAUUGAGGCUUGGGAAGCCUGGAGCUAUUGGCACCUCCAAGCAGAGGGGUUUUUGCCAUGAGGCAAGAUGCAGACAGCAGCUCCCCAGAAGUUACCAGGGACGACAAAAAGCAAACAGUUAUUAAACCGGAAAUUCGGCUUUUCUAUCGCAGAUAUCGAUAUUUCGCACUCUGCGCUAGCGAUGUGCCCCCCCCACGGACCCCGUCGGUGAUCUUAAGGUUAAAAGCAAACAUCGUCCAGACGCGUUUCGUAUCAACGAUAAGUAGUCAUAGGCAAAGCCAGAUUACAUUAAGAAAAAAAUGUUUCUUUUGUAUUGUGUGUGUAUAAACUGAACAUGGAGAAAAGAAAGAAAACUGAGAGCCAAGGCAAUGACCACCAGAAGCAAAAAGCUCAUGGUAAUGGUUAAAGACAUAACUCUGGACAGUUAUGAGUUGUGACCUAAAUCGCAUUGACACUUGUCACAAGAUCUGAAAUAUGCAGUUGGGAGAAGUCAUCCGCUAAAUCAUGGAGACCUUAUAGCAGUUGCAAAAUGUCAUUGUUUGUCAAAAAAUAGCUUGAUUUUAGCAAUUUGUGUUGCCAAAUAUUACAUCUAAGGUGUCACCGAUUUUAUCUAAAGUUUUGUAAUUUUAUCACAGCUUUGUAAUUUUAAUACUGAAAUGUUUUAUUGGUUUUAUAAACAUAAAAAGUAUACUUACAUAACCAUGUAAGGGUAGUAAUGAAAAACAAAAAAAAAGCGGAAAAGAAAAUUGUGGCGGCUUGGUUCCUUUCAUUAUUAUACAAGUAUAAAUAUAAUUGUUAGGACUCAUUAUUGGACCUUUUUGAUCUAGAAGUAUCAAUAAUAAAAAGUUCAUACAUGCAUGGCAGAAAAGAGUCAAAAGGAGUCAUUCUCGUAAGCUAACCAAGGGAGCCAUAUUUUGUCGUAGGCCUCCAUAUCAUUGUGUAGCAUAUAUGUCAUUUUUUCAUUGGCUGCUAUAAUUUUGUCUAUAAUUUUUGCCUUGAGCAUAGUCAGAGGUAGGGUGGCUUUUUUCCAGUUGCAUGCGAUUAUAAGUCUUGCUGCCAUUAAAAUAUGCUGAGAUAUUCUAUGGGCAGGAUUGUUAAAAUUGUUGGGCUUUUUUCCUAGGAGCAUGACAAAUGGGUCCUUUGGGAAGUUGAUAUGCAAUAUUUUGGAUAGCAGAUGUCUCACAGAAUCCCAAUACUUAGAGACCACAGUGUGUGGUGUGUAGACCCUUCCUCUUAACAUCCUCUGAAACAGUGUGGAUCGCAGGAUGGAUAACUCUUGUAUAGUCGGGUUGGUACACACGUGCUACCUCAAUUUUCUUUUAGGCUACAUUGUGACCACCGCUGGGUUGAGAUUGUUGCCUUUAAGUCCCUCUCCCAUUUGAGCAUGUACUUAUGUUUUGAAUUCUCCGUAGACAUCCAGUUUAUCAGUUUGUAAGUUAGACAAAUUCCCAAUGGUGUCAAUGGAGCCAAUGGUGCCUGUCGGCAAACUGAUUUAAAGCUUUAUGUUGUGAAUUUGUUGUUGGGGCACUUCUUGGCUUGCUUGUUCACAUAAUGAAUAAGUUGCGUGGCUCUAUAUAGUUCCUGUUGGGGAGGAUUGAACUUUUGAAUCAGUUGCGGUAGGGUUAGUGGUCUACCCUGCCAGGUCAGUGCGUCCAGUUUGCUCGCCCCAUUGCUCAGCCACCAAGCGAAUGCUCGCUUAGAAGUUCCCGGUGUAGUCAAGGUUGUUUACCAAUGGGAUUAUCAGUGAAAGAUAGGAAGAAUGUUUUUUUUUUUUCAGUUUAUUUGCCAUUAGUACAACAUGUCUGUUGUAAUUGGAGCUUUGUCAUUUUAAUAGUGAAACAAAGACUUGUGGAAACCUGUUUUUUUAAAGUUAAAACUUGUUUUGGAGAUAAUUUUAGCAUAAUUUAAGAGUACAUUUCUUUUAUUGUGUUUUGAAACUUAUUUGAAAAGUACAAAAGUACCAUUAUUUUUGGCCAUAACUAUAAUUGCAUUAUACUGUCAGUGCCUCCUUCCUAGUAUGCCUACACUUUAUAAUACUUAUUCUAUGUUUUUGCUGUUUAGCUGUAUGUUUUCAUGUAUCAUAAUGCACUACUGGUAUAAUAGGAGGAGCCACCUUGAGGGAAAAUACAGUAGCAAAAACCCAAAGCUUUCUCAACCGUUGGCUUUACCAAAUUCCAAAUUAACUUUAACUUAUUCUGCUUUACAUGGGAGCAAACAGCUCAGUUUGUGCAAAUGUUAAACAACACUGAAUUGUUGAAAUUGCUUGCCUACCUUAUACCAGUAUUCCUGUAUCACAGGGUAUUCCUAUACUAUUUGUAUACAUUUGAAGUGGGAGUACUUGGGGGCAGUUGGCAUUCGGACUUCUCCACAUAACUCUCAGAGGGGCAAUCAUCUGUACAACCCUGUUUCCAAAAAAGUUGAAUGUAAUAAAUGUAAAUAAAAAGAGAAUGGAA